rnacentral:rRNA from 1 species
GUGGCCUACGGGACGCAGCAGUGGGGAAUAUUGGACAAUGGGGGGAACCCUGAUCCAGCGACGCCGCGUGAGUGAAGAAGUAUUUCGGUAUGUAAAGCUCUAUCAGCAGGGAAGAAAGAAAUGACGGUACCUGACUAAGAAGCCCCGGCUAACUACGUGCCAGCAGCCGCGGUAAUACGUAGGGGGCAAGCGUUAUCCGGAUUUACUGGGUGUAAAGGGAGCGUAGACGGCGAUGCAAGUCUGAAGUGAAAGGCGGGGGCCCAACCACGGGACUGCAUUGGGAACUACCGGGCUGGAGUGCCGGG